rnacentral:tRNA from 1 species
GGAGCUGUGCCUGAAUAAAGGACCACUUUGAUAGAGUGAACAAUGAGGGUUAAAGCCCCUCCAACUCCU